GCCAAUUGCCGACUAAUAGUUCAGCCACGAGCCCAACACAAUCUCUACAACUAUUAAGACCCAAAUGUAGACUGCCCCCGCCUGCGAACGAAUCCCACCCGCCGCUCUGCCUCCCCCGCGGCGAAUCCCGCCCGCGCCUCCCCCGCCAUAGAACCCGCCUCCAACCGCGAAUCGCCCGCCGUGCCUUCACCCGCCGCUCCUCCAUCUCCUCCUCCUCGUCGUCGCUGCCGCCGCGCUGCGGGGGGCGCCGUUGGCGGACGCCGGCGCGGACACCUGCAAGGCGUGGUUGGUGCAGUCCAUCCCCACGGACAUGCCGCACCUGAGCCGCAUCCCCGGGGUCCUAUCCACGGGAGAUGUGCUCCAGUGGCUCUCGGGGAAUGCAACGAAGAGUCUGGACAUCCUUGCGCAGUACUGGCAGUUCUUGCCCCAGCCGAACAAUCCGAAAUCGGGGGACUACGGGUUCUCCAAGAGUGACAUGAGGAGAUUCGGGGCCGACGAGGGCCGCCGGGUUUACAAGGCACUGGAAAAUGCUGCAGACCGUAAGAUCAAAAUCAGGAUUGUCCAGCACUCUGGAUUUGCUCCUGAUUUUGACCAAGAGAGCGCAGAUCUGGCUGCAGGAAGACCAAAUGUUGAGAACGCAACCGUUCUUUUCGAGGACUGGUGGGGAUCUGGUGUUGUGCACGCAAAGGUCUGGAUAUCAGAUAAGAAGGAUGUGUAUAUAGGUUCCGCAAACAACGACUGGAAAUCCCUUACUCAGGUCAAGGAGCUUGGGAUUUAUUUUGCUGGUUGCCCACAUAUAGCAAAAACUGUGGAGGUCUAUUUUCAAAACCUGUGGACGCUUUCAACCCUCAACUCAACUUUUUACACCAAACAAGCCUGGGAUACGCAGUGGCAAGUUUCUAGAAAGGUUCCAUGCUGGUCUCAUUUCCUACAGCCCAAAGAAAGAUGCAGGGGCGGCGUGAAGCGCAUCUCCGGGCUCAUCUACGAGGAGACCCGCGGCAUCCUCAAGAUCUUCCUGGAGCAAUGCUGCUGGUUUAGGGGUUCUUCGCGCGCGCAUCCGGCCAGGCCUCCAAGGUCGGUGGCCAUGGCUCAGUGUCGCCAUCACCUCCUCCUCAUGGUUAUUGCUGCUCCGCGGCAGGCGAGAGCCAUGGGGAAGCCUUUGCUGUCCUCAUAGAUGUCGCAUUGCACCACUACCUGCGGGUCCAGCAAGCCGACCACCAGUUCAACACAGCACAUGUCCAAGGAGUUGGGGCAGGAAGAAUUUGGCAUAUACAACCUGGGCAGUCCAAGCACAAAUAGCCCUUCAUUGCCUUCAUUGGGUUCAUCUAAUAUAGUAGCAAUGACAUCUUGUGGACGUGAAAAUGGGAGUAUGCAUGGUUUGCAUUCUGGACUUCUCACAUCAAUGAGCCCGUUCAGAGAGGCUUCAUUUCUGGGUCUAUCAUCUACCCUACCACAGAGCCUGUCCUCUCCCAUUGGAAUUGCUUCUGCUGCAACUCAUAGUAACCAGGCUCCCCUUGGUGAGCUCAGCCACUCUCUUAGUCGGAUGAAUAGGCAUGUGAAUUAUGGUUUUCAAGGCUUGGGUGCUAUUCAUCCCCAUUCUCUUCCUGAUGUUCACAAUGGAGCAAAUAAUGGCACCCCUUACAAUCUGAACACCAUCACACCUGUUGGUGUCAAUAAGAACUCAAGAACAGCUGAAGCAGUUGACAGCAGACAUCUUCAUAAAGUGGGUUCUGGCAAUCUCAAUGGGCACUCAUUUGAUCGUGCCGGUGAAGGAGUUGUAAAGUGGUGGUGAUGAACACAUAAUUCACACAGGUGAGAUAGUCAAAUGAUGAAUAUAUGCACCCUGGAAGGCUGCUACUAAUUACACAUUCCUUGAACCUUCCUGUAAAAGCUUAGUAUGAAAGAUGUAAGCUUUAUUUGAAGGCAAGAACGCAUGGAGACUUUUUUUCC